AGUUUUAUCGAUUUCACAAGUGUCAUUGGUGUCAACUUUGGUUAUGUUGUGUUAUUGUUUGAUUUUUCGCGUUUUUCUACUUUUCUACUCGUGUAAUCGUAUCAGUUCUUUUCAGAACUAUAACAGUUCUUUUUAGAACUCCAAGUUAACUGUCGUAUACCGUGGUACGUGUCGCUUGCUUGAACGUAAACAUUCCACCAUGCCGAAGCCCUUGCACAAAGAUGCAAAGCAAAUGGUCGCUAAUUUAGUGGACUAUUUUGCUAAAGAACGCGAUAGCGGGGGACCUCUUUUACCAAUAACAGCUGUUCAGGACAGGGUUGCUGCUACUCUGGGUGUAUGUGUGCGAACAGUGAACUCCGUGGUACAACAAAUAAAAACCGGAGAAGGUGUACAUUCUCCCAAGAAAUAGAGACCCCCGAACAAAGCAAGUGUGUGAUAUUAGCACUUCGGAGCAGUGUGCUAUUCGAGAAUGCUUAUAUGGAAUGCUCGAAAAAAAAAUACAUGUUACACGAUCGCCAUUAAUUGAUUGCUUGAAGGAGAAACAUAUAUUUGAGGGUUCUGUGAGUUCGUUAGGAAAAAUUUGACAUUCUCUAUUGGGUUUUGUUAUUCGCCAACCAGUGUACGGAAGCGUCUUAUGGAAUUACAACAUGUUGUUCAUGCAAGAACCAAAUUCUUACGUGAAUACAUGCACAAUCAGCAGAACCCAAAUCCUUUGCCAUGUGUAUAUCUUGAUGAAACAUGGAUAUUUGAAAAUGGUUUGGUAGUUAGGUCAUUGCAAGACGAUAGUGUCAAAAGUAUCAGGAUGUUCAAAAUAGAAGGGAAAAUUUAGUAAUGUGUCAGUUU